rnacentral:ncRNA from 2 species
CGACCCUGCGUGGGAGAGUCCCCGGCGCGCCAGCCGCGCCGGGGCGCCGAAGGGGCAAUUCUCCCCGGAACCUCUCAGGCGCCCAGGACCACGCGGAAGAG